CCGGGGGGGGACGCAGAGGCUAACCAGGCCCGCGAUUGGACGUGCGGGUUGAGGGUCGUAGGGAGAUUCGCCAGGUAAAUCCGGUGGGUCGUUAAUCCUGAGGGCCCGGAGCGAGCGCCGCAAGGCGCAUAAAGCUGGUGACGCCACGCUGCCGAGAAAAGCCUCUAAGGAGUGGAGUGGGUACCCGUACCGCAAACCGACACAGGUAGGCGAGGAGAAAAUCCUAAGGCCCAAGUGUGAUCCCCCGUUUAGGAACUCGGCAAAUUGGCCCCGUAACUUCGGAAGAAGGGGUGCUCUUGCUUGUCAUCCGGCUUGCCCGGAGAAGCGAACGAGAGUUGCAAUAAAGAGGCUCAGGCGACUGUUUACUAAAAACACAGGGCUCUGCGAAGUCGAAUACGACGUAUAGGGUCUGACGCCUGCCCGGUGCCGGAAGGUUAAAGAGAGGGGUUAGCCGCAAGGCGAAGCUCUGAACUGAAGCCCCGGUAAACGGCGGCCGUAACUAUAACGGUCCUAAGGUAGCGAAAUUCCUUGUCGGGUAAGUUCCGACCUGCACGAAUGGCGUAACGAUCUGAGCGCUGUCUCAACGGGGAGCACUGCGAAUUUGUGGUACCGGUGAAGACGCCGGUUGCCCGUCACAAGACGAAAAGACCCCGUGCACCUUUACUACAUCCUAGUAGUGAAUGCUGGCGCAGUAUGCGCAGGAUAGGUGGGAGGCUUUGAACUCAGGCUUUCGGGCUUGGGGGAGCCAACGGUGAGAUACCACCCUUACUGCUCCGGCGUUCUAACCUCGUUCUGUUAUCCAGAUCAGGGACACUGCUAGGUGGGUAGUUUGACUGGGGCGGUCGCCUCCUAAACUGUAACGGAGGCGCUCGAAGGUUCGCUCAGGCUGUUUGGAAAUCAGCCAUAGAGUGCAAAGGCAUAAGCGAGCUUGACUGCGAGACCUACAAGUCGAGCAGGUGGGAAACCAGGACUUAGUGAUCCGGUGGUUCCGCAUGGAAGGGCCAUCGCUCAACGGAUAAAAGGUACGCCGGAUAACAGGCUGAUCUGAGCCAAGAGUCCACAUCGACGCUCAGGUUUGGCACCUCGAUGUCGGCUCAUCGCAUCCUGGAGCUGUAGCAGGUUCCAAGGGUCCGGCUGUUCGCCGGUUAAAGCGGUACGUGAGCUGGGUUUAGAACGUCGCGAGACAGUUCGGUCUCUAUCUGUGAUGGGCGCAGGAGAUUUGAGUGGGGCUGACCUUAGUACGAGAGGACCGGGUUGGACGAACCUCUAGUGUAUCGGUUGUCACGCCAGUGGCAGUGCCGAGUAGCUACGUUCGGAAGGGAGAAACGCUGAAGGCAUCUAAGCGUGAAACCCUCCACGAGAUGAGAUCUCCCAGGGCAUAAGCCCUCUGAAGGCUCCUGGUAGACGACCAGGUUGAUAGGCCAGGUGUGGAAGCGCAGCGAUGCGUUAAGCUAACUGGUACUAAUUAGCCGUGAGGCUUGACCGA
rnacentral:rRNA from 1 species